rnacentral:hammerhead_ribozyme from 1 species
GUAUUACUGAGGAGUCCGAUAAUAGGACAAAAUGGCCAUCCAGUAC